rnacentral:lncRNA from 1 species
CUGUACUUCUUGCUUAGGAUUGCUCAGUUGCUUCCAACGCUGGAAAAAGUCUUGAGAGGACAUUUCUGUUGGCUGGAAAAAUUUAUUCAGUGUGAUGGGUAAUUUUACUGAAAGAUUCUGGAAUGUUCCACCGUACCUGAAUUGAAUGUUCAGAAUGGGAGCUUCCAUGAAGUCUGACACACAUUCAAUGUUCACAACCUGCUGAACCUGUGCACCUCCAUCCACUGUGGGGUCAACAGGUUUUGUCUGAAGAUUCAGGCUUGGUUGAAGGUCAUCUGAGCAGAUUACUGUUGGAGUAAAAUUCAAGAACUGUGUUGAUGUCUUAUUACCAUAGAAAAUGAACAUACGUCCCAGGUUCUGUCGAAAUUCAGACUUCAAUCCAAUUUGUAGCAACUGAUUUUCAAAGAGGACUCCAUUAUUUUUACACACAAACCUUGCAAAGUUGUCAUCAGAACCAGGAGCAAGAGGUGCAACAGCAGAAGCUGAAUCUGAAAAUACAUCCACCAG